GGAAUUGUGCCUGAACAAAGGACCACUUUGAUAGAGUGAAAUAUGAGGGUUAAAGCCCCUCCAACUCCC
rnacentral:tRNA from 1 species